rnacentral:rRNA from 1 species
AGAGAGAGACAUGCGCGCAUAUCAAUAAGCGGAGGAAAAGAAACUAACAAGGAUUCCCUUAGUAACGGCGAGUGAAGCGGGAAGAGCUCAAAUUUGAAAUCUUCAAGGUUUUACCUUGACGAAUUGUAGUUUAAAGAAGUGUUUUCUGCUGAAGUUUUGGUAAAAGUUCUUUGGAAUAGGACAUCAUAGAGGGUGAGAAUCCCGUAUUUGACCAUUAUUUUCAGCUUUGUGAUACACUUUCAAAGAGUCGGAUUGUUUGGGAAUGCAGUCCAAAAUGGGUGGUAAAUUUCAUCUAAAGCUAAAUAUUGGCGAGAGACCGAUAGCGAACAAGUACCGUGAGGGAAAGAUGAAAAGAACUUUGAAAAGAGAGUUAAACAGUACGUGAAAUUGUCAAAAGGGAAGCGUUUGACACCAGUGUUGUUUUCUCGAAAAUCAAUUAAAAAUGGCUCGAUUUUGUAUUGCUUGAGACCUUAAAAGCUCACUGUACAUUUUUCGUGUCUUUUUUAAUGCACUUUUCGUUUAACAAGUCAACAUCAGUUUCUUUUGUUGUAAAAGGGUCAUUGGAAGGUGGCUUUCUUUUCGGAGAAAGUGUCUAUAGCCUUUGGCCUCUGCAAUCGGAGAGACUGAGGUCUGCAGCGUAGACUCUUCGGGGUUAGAUACAUUUGUGCUAAGUUAUAGCUUUUUAUAGACAACUUGUUGACUAUAAUUAGUCUUGUAGCUUACUCGCUUAUGCUAUUUUACCUACGCUUAGGAUGUUGAAGAUGUAGCACAUCAU